AUACGUAGGGGGCGAGCGUUGUCCGGAAUGAUUGGGCGUAAAGGGCGCGUAGGCGGCCCGGUAAGUCUGGCGUGAAAGUCCUGUUUUUGAGAUGGGAAUUGCUUUGGAUACUGUCGGGCUUGAGUGCAGGAGAGGUAAGUGGAAUUCCCAGUGUAGCGGGGAAAUGCGUAGAGAUUGGGAGGAACACCAGUGGCGAAGGCGACUUACUGGACUGUAACUGACGCUGAGGCGCGAAAGUGUGGGGAGCAAACAGGAUUAGAUACCCUGGUAGUCCACACUGUAAACGAUGAAUGCUAGGUGUAGGGGGUAUCGACCCCUUCUGUGCCGCAGUCAACACAAUAAGCAUUCCGCCUGGGGAGUACGGCCGCAAGGUUGAAACUCAAAUGAAUUGACGGGG
rnacentral:rRNA from 1 species